rnacentral:rRNA from 1 species
AUUGAACGCUGGCGGCAGGCCUAACACAUGCAAGUCGAACGGAGUGGCGAACGGGUGAGUAAUGUAUCUGAACGUGCCCCGUAGCGGGGGAUACCUACCCGAAAGCGUAGCUAAUCCCGCAUACUAUUGGAGCGGCCGAUGUCGGAUUAGCGAGUUGGUGGGGUAACGGCUCACCAAGGCGACGAUCCGUAGCUGGUUUGAGAGGAUGACCAGCCACACUGGAACUGAGACACGGCCCAGACUCCUACGGGAGGCAGCAGGGGGGAAUUUUGGACAAUGGGGGAAAUCCUGAUCCAGCCAUGCCGCGUGUGCGAAGAAGGCCUUCGGGUUGUAAAGCACUUUUGGCAGGAAAGCGGUACCUGCAGAAUAAGCACCGGCUAACUACGUGCCAGCAGCCGCGGUAAUAC